GACAGAAAGAACCAAAGCGAUGAGAUAAUUCCUCACACAGGCCAUCAUGACUCUGACGCCUAAAAAACAUUGACUGGCUUGUAAUCACACGACAGUCUGGACAGAAUUGAAAAAACAAGAGUCUAGGUCUACAAGUAUGCCUGCCUUCCUUCCACCAUUAUUUGCUGCUCAGAAUUAAAGUCUGAUUAAAGCAUGGCCAAGCAUCCUCUUGAGGGAGAAGGAAGGGAAAGGAAAGUGAUUGAAAGCACCGGGUGGAAAGGGAAGGUCUACAAAGAAUCCCGCAGUGAAGCUUGACCUCCUGAGGGUUGUGAUUGAAGUAUAAGGAACCAGGGUGCCUGAGGUCAGUUAAACAGACAUUACCAUGUCAGCAAGAAAACAAGUGCUAUUUUUUUUUCUUGUGAAGCCUACAAUGGACAAAAAAUCUGGCUAUAGGCCAACAUAAUAAUUGGAUAUCUCCUAUUUUAUUAUCUGUGCUGAAUUAUCUCCUUCCUGUGACAAAGCAUACUAAUACUAUCAGGAUUUCAGCAAAGAUUACAUGAACAACUUUGAAAAUUUUAACACUUCAAGACCAGCCUCCAGAGUAACAGGCAAUUCAACAUGUACCGGUUGAAAACAGCUACAGAGAAGCUGUCUUAGUUCAUUCCAUUUGCUGUAACAAACGUACCACAGACUCAAACAACAAGUUCUGGAGUCCAGGAAGACCAAGAUCAAGAAGCAGACACACUAGAUAUCUGGUGGAAGCCAACUUCCUGGUUCAUAGAUGGCCAUCCUCUCUCUGGGUCCCCGUGAGGCAGAGGGACAAGGAUUGUUCCCUGGGGUCUCUUCUAUAAGGGUUCUUCUAUGAGGGCUCUGCCCUCCUGACUUAAAUGCCUCCCAAAGGUUUCACCUCCUGAUAUCAUCUCUUUGUGGUUAGGUUUCAGCAUAUGAAUUUGGGGGGAACACAUUCAGUCUACAGCAGGAGCUGACUACCUGACAGUGUUCAUUUUUACCACUUACGCUAUUUGUUACCACAUCUUACUGCAUCCCCUAUUAUUGGAUCAGGAUUGUGUAUUCCUUUUUGCAUACUUGACAUUGCUUUUUAUCAAUGUUUAAGUUAAUUUGCAAGUUAUUUAAUCAACAUGUUAUUCUAGUACCAGUGCUAUCUGAUAUUCAGCUAUCUGAACUAAGAAUGGUAAAGGAGUCUAAUUCAGUUCUUUUCACCUAUGACAAUUUAACUAAACUAUAAAAUACAAUGAAUGUCGCUUCAUAACUGCAGAGAAGUUCCCCUAGUAUUCUGAAAAUUAGUGCAGUUGUAAGA